rnacentral:rRNA from 1 species
GGUUCGAUUAUGGCUCAGAUUGAACGCUGGCGGAUGCUUACAUGCAAGUCGACGGCACGGACUGGUCUGGUGGCGAGUGGCGAACGGGUGAGUAAUGUAUCCAGACGUGCCUAGUAGCGGGGGAUAACUACGCGAAAGCGUAGCUAAUACCGCAUACGCCCUUCAGGAAAGCGGGGGACCUUCGGGCCUCGCACUAUUAGAGCGGCCGAUAUCGGAUUAGCUAGUUGGUGGGGUAACGGCUCACCAAGGCGACGAUCCGUAGCUGGUUUGAGAGGACGACCAGCCACACUGGGACUGAGACACGGCCCAGACUCCUACGGGAGGCAGCAGUGGGGAAUUUUGGACAAUGGGGAAACCCUGAUCCAGCCAUCCCGCGUGUGCGAUGAAGGCCUUCGGGUUGUAAGGCACUUUUGGCAGGAGAAAGAAACGGCACGGAUAAUACCCCGUGCAACUGACGGCUACCUGCAGAAGAAUAAGCACCGGCUAACUACGUACCCAGCAGCCGCGGUAAUACGUAGGGUGCAAGCGUUAAUCGGAAUUACUGGGCGUAAAGCGUGCGCAGGCGGUUCCGGAAAGAAAGAUGUAGCCGAAAUCCCAAACUAACUUUGGAACUUUUGCUACCGAGCUAGAGUGUGUGUCAGAGGGAGGUGGAAUUCCGCGUGUAUCAGUGAAACGUAGAUAUGCGGAGGAACACCGAUGGCGAGCAGCCUCCUGGGAUAACACUGACGCUCAUGCACGGCGUGGGAGCAAACAGGAUUAGAUACCCUGGUAGUCCUUCCUAAAGCGAUGUCAACUAGCUGUUGGGGCCUUCGGGCCUUGGUAGCGCAGCUAACGCGUGAAGUUGACCGCCUGGGGAAGUACGGUCGCAAGAUUAAAACUCAAAGGAAUUGACGGGGACCCGCACAAGCGGUGGAUGAUGUGGGUCCAUUGAAAUGCAACGCGAAAAACCUUACCUACCCUUGACAUGUCUGGAAUCCCGAAGAGAUUUGGGAGUGCUCGCAAGAGAACCGGAACACAGGUGCUGCAUGGCUGUCGUCAGCUCGUGUCGUGAGAUGUUGGGUUAAGUCCCGCAAGCGGCACAACCCUUGUCAUUAGUUAGCACGAAGGCACUCUAAUGAGACUGCCGAUGGCUCAAACCGGAGGAAGGUGGGGAUGACGUCAAGUCCUCAUGACCCUUAUGGGUAGGGCACGUCAUACAAUGAAGUCGGGACAGAAGGUCGCCAACCCGCGAGAGGCCAAUCCCAGAAACCCGAUCCGUAGUCCGGAUCGCAGUCUGCAACUCGAGCUGGCUGAAGUCGGAAUCGCUAGUAAUCGCGGAUCAGCAUGUCGCGGUGAAUACGUUCCCGGGUCUUGUACACACCGCCCGUCACACCAUGGGAGUGGGUUUACCAGAAGUAGUUAGCCUAACCGUAAGGAGGGCAAUUUUACCACGGUAGGAUUCAUGACUGGGGUGAAGUCGUAACAAGGUAA